UAUAAUCAUCAAAACUCUCUAUUUUUCUCUAUUUUUUACUGAGAAAAAAGCUGUAAGAAAAUGAUAAAGCUUUGAAUCUGACGGAACUCAAGCUCAAAAUCUUAUAUUUUCAUAAAAUAUUAAAUUAUGUGUCACAACCGUUAUUUAUCAAAAGCUUGGUACUGAUCAACCCUUUUAACUCGAAUUGCAAAAUAGUUUCUCUCAUAGUUAGUUAAUUCAUGAAUUAUUCAUAAAUUAUUAAAAAUUCGAAUAAAACAGUCUGUAUGUAAAUUUUUUUCUAAAAAAUCAAAAUAAAAUGUGAAUUUGUGGAUUAGAUAUAUUAUUCGCAAAUAAUUUACAUAUGCUAAACUAUUCAGUCAAAAAACACACAAAAUUUUUGGAUAAAAUCCUUUUCUUCAACAUAGUUAGUUAUAAAAUUAUUGAAAAAUUAUUCGCAAAUUAUUAAAAAACUUUAUAAACUUUUAGAAUAUGUGGAUCAUGAAAAAGAUGAAGAUAAAGACGACAAUGGACUUUGCUAUUACUUUUUUUUUAUUUAAUCUACUUUAUUUUAAAUCUCUCUAUUUUUAUAUUUUUAAAAAAUUAUAACUAUUUAUGGUAGUCGUAUAAAUCGAGAGAAAAAUUUUUAAUUUAAUAGCCAAAUUUUUAAUUCUGAAUUUUUAAUUGAUGAAUGUAUAAUUCUCGUAUAACUCGUAUAUCCGAAUAAUUGACAAACCUUUUUUUUGAGCCAUAAUUUUUAACGACUUUAAAAAUCAGAAUAUAAAUUUUAUUCAUAUUAUAUCCGUACCAAAUAUUUAGUGAAUCCGAAUUAACCAACUAUGGUUUCUCUAAAAAAA
rnacentral:lncRNA from 1 species